UGAUGUAACCUCAUUAUGA
rnacentral:snRNA from 1 species